CCUCUCUCUCCCUCCUCCGCAGCGUCCUAGCACACAUCGCCGCCACAAACCAGAUCUUCGCCUCCCUCUUCCCACAGCUCGCCGCCAGUCCUCCCCUACCCCCUUACCUCGCAGCUCCGGCAAGUACUAGAUCCGCCGCAUCCACCACGCAGCACACUCACAUACUUUCUCCAAUUCCCUCCGUCCUCCAGUCCGGCUAGAUCUGCCACUCAGGAUCUCCAGCGGCCGCCCGCGUAAAGAUGCCAUGGAUCUCCUCUUCCCGCUCGUCUUCAAGGUACACGCACCCUAGUAGUGGCGGCUGUGUGGCGGAGGCAGGGCAUGAGCACGAGGGGGAGGCAGGCUGCUGCUGCUAUGACGACUGGCGCCAUGGAACUUCCUUCCUUCCCCUGCUCCCAUGCUAGCUAGGGAUCUCAUCCGUGCAGCAGAGGACAACCAUCAUCAACUGUUGCAGUUUUGUUAGAUCAUUAGAUUUUUUAUGCCUAGAACGCCUCUAUUUUUUUGUGCAGUCAUUACAUCGAUCUGGUUGUGGAUGUUGAUACGGGUUCCUUGGUUUAGCAAUUCUAGUCAUUAUAUAUAUGAUCAUUACAGCCGGGACAGUAUUGUUGGAUUGUGGACGACAACACCAUUCUAUCUACAACUGUUGUAGCAAUUACAGUCAUUCUAUCCUUUUAAGCACCAAAACAUGUUAUGACCGAUUUCUGAUUUCUCAUGCAGCAGGUGCCCUCCAUCGACCGGGAUGACCACGACACAGAGAAGUACGAGGACCAGGACGCACAGGACCCCAACCCCUAGCCCGACAAGGAGGACAUCGUCGGGUCUGACCUCGUGCUCGACGCCACGGCUUCAUCCAACUUGACCACGAGGCACCGCACAAGAUAGGUACAUUGGCGGAGCUAAGCUGGGGCAAAAGGAUGCCGUGGCCUGCCCUGCCCAAAACCGGAGAAUGAGUUACAUAGCAGCCUCAUAUGGUGCUCCUCAUGGUGAUUGUUGAGCGGCUAUGCUCAAUGGACAGGCUGCUUCCCGAGCUCCCCAACACCAAGCAGCCGUCCAGCUUGGUGCUUUUCAGAGGUUUCCUUAGUGGUGAGAGACGCAAAGGAAGUUUGAGCUGUAGAGGUGACGUUGAUGAUUAAGAGGGUCUGUACAAUGUUGUAUAUUUGUUGAUGUAAUCUGGUUAGUGAGGGCAUGUGAACCGUUUUUGGAUGUGUUCUUGGGCACAUUUUAAAAGGCCGUUACUCAGUGAAAUAACUGAAUAGAAAUUUAUGAAAUGGCCAAAUUAUUGGCAUGUUCAAUGGGAAUUAGUUGUGUUGUG